rnacentral:lncRNA from 1 species
AUGUUGGAUCCUCAACCCACUGCACCACAGAGGGAACUCCCAAUUCUUAAAUUUGAGAGCUUGGUCAAUUUGAAGUCUCUUUCACAGAGAUUCUCCCUGCAUAAUGGUGUCCACUCCAACCUGGCAGCUAUUCAGAGGUUUCUAGGAAGCAUCUCAUGUAAGUCCGUAUCUCAUUUAUUUUGCUUUGCUUCCCUGGACCUGUCGUGUGUACUUGUAAAUUCAUUCAGUAUACUGAAGGAUUUUAAUAGCAUCAUGGUUAUCCCUUCUUGAAAAACACAUGUUUUAUUUUCUUAUCAGCAUCAGUUGGGAGUUUGUUAGAAAUACAUAACCUCAGACGUUUGAAACGGUAUAUGCAUUUUAUAAUGAUACUCCCCCACACAGUGAUUUUUGAGUGCAUUUUAAAGCUUCACUGGUGUUACUUUAGUGAGGAAGACUUAGUCCUGAAAUUUUAUUUUCAAAUAUUUUAUCUACAUUUCUAAUUUGGGGCAUUAAGUUGUUUAUACUUUAUAUUACUCUUUUAAUAUAUGAAAGCUUUGUAAUGAUGUGUAAAUUUUUAAUUCUAGAUAUUGGCAAUUUGUGACCUAGUAUUUUGUCUAUCUUGGUAAAUGUUUAAUAUUCACUUGAAAAUAUGUAUAUUCUAUAAUUGUUAGAUGUAGUAGUCUAUCAAAAUCAAAUAAGCCAUUUUUUUCCUUUUUUUUGCCACUGCUUAGCAUAUGGAGAUCCAAGCUGCAGUUUUGACCUAUGCUGCAGCUGCAGCAAUACUGAAUCUUCUAACCCAUUGUGCUGGCUGGGGAUAGCACCUGUGUCCUGGUGCUGCAGAGAUGCUGCCAAUCUCAUCACCCCAUGGUGGAAUUCAAAUAGCCAAGUUUUUGGUUUUUUUGUGUUUGUUUGUUUUUUCUGUCUCUUUUAGGACCACACCUGCAGCAUAAGGAGGUUCCCAGGCUAGGGUUCCAAUUGGAGCUGUAGCCACCAGGCCUGUGCCACAACCACAGCAAUGCCAGAUCUGAGCCACGUCUGCAACCUACACCAUAGCUCAUGGCCACACCAGAUCCUUAACCCAUUGAGUGAGGCCAGGGAUCUAACCCACAUCCUCUUGGAUGCUAGUUGGGUUUGCUAACCACUGAGCCAUGAAGGGACCUCCUCAAGUAGCCAGUUUUUAAUAAUGUUACUAAAACAUCCUAUAUCUUUUCUGAUUUUUGUGAAUCCUACCAGUUCCUAAUACAGUAGUGCUAAAAUUUCCAAAUUUGCUUGUACUUUUGUCUAUUUGUCCUUUAAAUUUUGCGGUUUUGCUUUUGUAUUUUAAAAUUCCGUUAUUAUGUGCACACAGAUUUAUUGUAUGGAAAUUUAUUGCUGGAAAUGUUUUUAGUGAUGAAGUACAACAUACUUUGUCUAAUGUUAUAGCAUUAAAAUAAGAAAACAACCAAAUUAAAAGUGGGUCAGACACUUGCACAGAUACUUCACAAAGAAGGUAUAUAAAUGACCAAUAAACACCUGAAAGAUCCUCA